UUUUUUUUUUUUUUUUUUUUUUUUUGGCUUCACCUGCAGCAUAUGGAAGUUCCCAGGUUAGGGGUCGAAUCAGAUGUAGCUGCAGGCCUACACCACAGCCAUGGCAAAACUCAAUCCUUAACCCACUGAGUAAAGCCAGGGAUUGAACCCACAUCCUCUUGGCGCUACGAUAAGCCACAGUGGGAACUCCCCAAUAGGUAAUUUAUAUAAAUGGCCACGUGUAAGGACGCAUAGUUUUGAGUCCCUGGGUAACUGAAUCUGAUCUGAACCUAUCUUGUAAAAUUUUUCAUGCCUCAUGGAUUCAAGACAAAGGCUUGUAGGUUCAGAUUCCUCAAUUUCCUACUUAAACGUGAGAGAGAUUUCUUGAUUUCACAACUCAAAUUUCUAAGAAUCCUUUCAAAAGCAUUUUUUAUGAGUUCAAUAAAAGUUGCUUUACACCAUGAUGUCACCCAUCUGCACUUCUAUAUCGUAAAAGAACCUUAAAAUUAUUUAGGACAUGCUUUGGUAUGUUAUAAAAUCGUCAGUGCCAAGAAGAACUUUUUUAGUUUUUAUUGCAAAACACUCCCAUACAUAGGAGGCAGAACAACUUAUCUGAACCAACAGUAGAUUUGGAAGCAGUCUGCAAAAGUUGUCCAAAAAUGUGUUAGACAGCCAGGUUGUGAUGGAGGCUGGAAUUCCGUAGUUACAGACGGUUGGUUUUCCAUGUGCCAUUUUAAGAAUUCUAUUUGCUCUAAGUGCAAGUUGAAAUUUUAUAUUUAAAAGUAGAAUCCUGAAGUAACGAUAAGCUAUUUCUUAUUAGGCUGGCCUUCAGUGAUAUUAUGGAAAGCAUAACAUUAAAAUAAAACAUCUUGAAAACACUGAGCAACCUAAAAGUUAUUCUUGUAACUACUGGUAAUGCUAGUGUAUUCAGAUUUAUCCAUGAGGUUUUAAAUACCUGUAAUUCUACUGGGCGGUACCUUUUACUUUAAAAUGCAAAUGAGGCAACAGUGGUGGAGGACGCCACGCCCUUUUACAGAAUCCUAAGUAGAUCUACAUAGUUCUGAGAUGAAGAAAAAAAACCAAAAACCAGAUAAAUGCAAUGACCUCUUGAAGGGCAACAACACAAUCUGGCAAGUAGAUGAGUUUUAUCAAUUAUUAUUAUUAUUAUUACUAUUUUAAUUUUUAUGGCCGCACCUGUGGCAUAUGGAAGUUCCCAGGCUAGGGGUCUAAUUGGAGCUGCAGCUGCUGGUCUAUGCCACAGCCACAGCAAGGAGGGAUCCAAGCUGCUUUUUCGUCCUAUACCACAGAUCAUGGUAAUACCAUAUCCUUAUCCCACUGAUUGAGACCAGGGAUCGAACCCACAUCUUCAUGGAUACUAGUCAUGUUUGUUACCAUGGUUCCACAAUGGGAAAACUCCAAGCUUAUCAGUUCUUGAUAAACUCGUAUAAUUUCAAAUUAUCUUGCUCAAGUCCUUAGUUAUAAAACAUCCAACAUAUUGAAGAUUCCAGGUUAGUAAAAGCCAAAUCUUAAAAAAGGAAAAAGUAAGAAGUUAUUUCAGAACUUCUAGGCACUUGUGGAAAUAUGGAAUGACAUUUAGCUCAACAGACACCUGGUGUUUUCUGAAAUACCAGAGAAAUUCUUUCUGGUUUCCAUAGGCUUUAAAAUGCUCUGAUUUAAUGGUGGAAAGGGGUUUGAGAAAUCGUGAUAUGAAGAAUUGAAUAAAACUAACAAUAUACUAUGUAUUCAAUUAACUUUUGAUGAAGGAUGAAGAGAAAGUACAUCCAUUAAACAUUAAACAUUCUGAGAUGUGAUCUAUCAACAAAGACAACACAAAUGUUGCUUUUAAAUGUUUAAAGACUGCAAUUCUCUUUUCUCUUUAUUCAAACCACAGUCAAUUUUACACAAAAGUAAUAAAGAAACCAGACACUAAAAAAAUAGUUAAAUUAAAAAAUGGCUCUUUGAAUAUGAUUGCACAGCUUUAAAAAUUAUUUAGGGCCAACAGGCACAUGAAAAGAUGUCAACAUCAUUAAUCGUUAGGGAAAUGCAAAUCAAAACCACCAUGAGAUAUCACCUCAUGCUCAUUAAGAUAAAUAUUACAAACAAAGAAACAAAAAUCCCCCCAAAUCAGAAAAUAACAAGUACUGGGAAGGGAUGUGGAAAAACUGGGAGACUUGGGCACUUUUGGUGGGAACAAAUGUAAAAUGGUACAGCCACCAUGUAAAACAGUAUUGGUUGUCCUGCAAAGAAUUAAACGUAGAAUUAUCAUAUGAUCCAGGAAUUCUACUUCUGAGUAUACACUCAAAAUAAAUGAAAGCGGAAACUUGAACAGAUAUUUGUACACCAUGUUCAUAGAAGUAUUAUUCAUACAAUCAAAAGGUGGAAGUAACUGUCCAGUGGCAGAUGCAUGGGUAGACAAAACAUGGCAUAAGCAUGCAAUGGAAUAUUAUUCACCCUUAACAAGAAAGGAAAUUUUGACAUAUGCUAUAACAUGAAUGAGCCUUGAAGACAUUAUGCUAAAUGAAAUAAGCCAGUCAUAAAAGCACAAAUAGUGUAUGAUCCAUUUGUAUAAGGUUCCUAGAAUAGUCAUAUACAUAGAGAAAGAAAGCAGAAGAGUGGUGACCAAAGCUCUGUGUGUGUGUGUGUGUGUGUGUGUGUGUGUGGUCAGGGGGCUGUCACGCAGCCACACUGCAAACAGAGGAUGCAAAGCCCUUGGAACCGGAAUUUAAUUCCAUUUUCUUCCCCCUACUUUAACAAAGACAAAUGCAAACUACUGCUCUAAUUCUAAGGAGCAAUACUAGGGAUGGAUCUGCCUCCAAAAGACUCUAAAACCACCCUUUCAAAUGUGUCUCCUCCUGUCUCUGCUUCCCUGCCACUGCCCUUCUUUUCCUAGGAGGGCAUCUCUUUUUCUUGAAAGGAAUAGCUCACCCUUCUCAAAGUGAGGGAGAGGUUUCCCCUUGUGGCUUUAGAAUCCUUGCUAGCAAAUCCUUCAGCCAUGAUUUCCACAAACUUGUCCUGAAUUGUAUGAUAGAAGCCCCUGUACUAGAGUGUUCCCCCUUUUUUUUUUCCCUGAGUAAAUAAAUAAAGAUCCAUUGAGCAGUCUGAAUUUGUUUUUAUGAAGCAGAAGACGCUCACCCCAGUCCCUGAAUACUCUUUAGAGUGGAUGAAAGGAAGAAUUUAUGCCAUGCUGUGCAGGAAUAGUCUAUAACCCUCAUAUCUCUGCAGAUUCAUGUUCGUGAACAAGGCAAUGUAGAUAUUUAGGCGGAGAAACAGAACAGCAUGUCUCUUGAAGAGAGGUUUGCUGUUUCUCAGUUUUUAGACACUUCUAAUUUCCAAAAUUAGAGGAGGAAGUAAAGGUCUUUUUUUGGAUUGUUUUGCAUCUCCAAUCCAAGGUAGGGUUAUUCAGAUGAUUCUUUUCCUCC
rnacentral:lncRNA from 1 species